rnacentral:rRNA from 1 species
UACGUAGGGUGCAAGCGUUGUCCGGAAUUAUUGGGCGUAAAAGAGCUCGUAGGCGGUUUUGUCGCGUCGGCUGUGAAAACUCGGGGCUCAACCCCGAGCCUGCAGUCGAUACGGGCAGACUAGAGUGCUGUAGGGGAGACUGGAAUUCCUGGUGUAGCGGUGAAAUGCGCAGAUAUCAGGAGGAACACCGGUGGCGAAGGCGGGUCUCUGGGCAGUAACUGACGUGAGGAGCGAAAGCGUGGGGAGCAAACAGG